rnacentral:tRNA from 1 species
GGUGCUCUGGGUGAAGCCCGAAGAGCUCGGCAAGUACCCCUUCCCAGCAGCCAAUGCCCGCAUCAUUGAGGCGCUG